UACGUAGGUGGCAAGCGUUGUCCGGAUUUACUGGGCGUAAAGAGCGCGCAGGCGGUCGGAUCAGUCGAAUGUGAAAGCCCCCGGCUCAACUGGGGAGGGUCAUUCGAUACUGUCCGACUCGAAGGCAGGAGAGGGAAGCGGAAUUCCCGGUGUAGUGGUGAAAUGCGUAGAUAUCGGGAGGAACACCAGUGGCGAAGGCGGCUUUCUGGCCUGUUCUUGACGCUGAGGCGCGAAAAGCUAGGGG
rnacentral:rRNA from 1 species